GACAGAGGGGGCAAGCGUUGCUCGGAAUUACUGGGCGUAAAGGGCGUGCAGGCGGUCUGUUAAGUCUAGGGUGAAAGCUCCCGGCUCAACUGGGAGAGGUCCUUGGAUACUGGCGGACUUGAGGGAGGCAGAGGAAAGUGGAAUUCCCGGUGUAGUGGUGAUAUGCGUAGAUAUCGGGAGGAACACCAGUGGCGAAGGCGGCUUUCUGGGGCCCUUACCUGACGCUG
rnacentral:rRNA from 1 species